UACAGAGGGGGCAAGCGUUGUUCGGAAUUACUGGGCGUAAAGGGCGCGUAGGCGGCCUGCUAAGUCGAACGUGAAAUCCCUGGGCUCAACCCAGGAACUGCGUCCGAUACUGGUUGGCUUGAAUCCGGGAGAGGGAUGUGGAAUUCCAGGUGUAGCGGUGAAAUUCGUAGAUAUCAAGCAGAACACCUGCGGCGAAGGCGGCCUUCUGGACGAUGACUGACGCUGAGACGCGAAAGCGUGGGGAGCAAACAGG
rnacentral:rRNA from 1 species